rnacentral:tRNA from 1 species
GAUGACGUGGUCUAGCGGUUAGAACGCUGGCCUUGUAAUCCUGGGGUCUCGGGUUCGAUUCCCGGCGGUGCCC